AGNGAUUUUGGAGAACGCUGGCGGCGUGCCUAAUACAUGCAAGUCGAGCGGACAGAAGGGAGCUUGCUCCCGGAUGUUAGCGGCGGACGGGUGAGUAACACGUGGGUAACCUGCCUGUAAGACUGGGAUAACUCCGGGAAACCGGAGCUAAUACCGGAUAGUUCCUUGAACCGCAUGGUUCAAGGAUGAAAGACGGUUUCGGCUGUCACUUACAGAUGGACCCGCGGCGCAUUAGCUAGUUGGUGAGGUAACGGCUCACCAAGGCGACGAUGCGUAGCCGACCUGAGAGGGUGAUCGGCCACACUGGGACUGAGACACGGCCCAGACUCCUACGGGAGGCAGCAGUAGGGAAUCUUCCGCAUGGGACGAAAGUCUGACGGAGCAACGCCGCGUGAGUGAUGAAGGUUUUCGGAUCCGUAAAAGCUCUGUUGUUAGGGGAAGAACAAGUGCAAGAGUAACUGCUUGCACCUUGACGGUACCUAACCAGAAAGCCACGGCUAACUACGUGCCAGCAGCCGCGGUAAUACGUAGGUGGCAAGCGUUGUCCGGAAUUAUUGGGCGUAAAGGGCUCGCAGGCGGUUUCUUAAGUCUGAUGUGAAAGCCCCCGGCUCAACCGGGGAGGGUCAUUGGAAACUGGGAAACUUGAGUGCAGAAGAGGAGAGUGGAAUUCCACGUGUAGCGGUGAAAAUGCGUAGAGAUGUGGAGGAACACCAGUGGCGAAGGCGACUCUCUGGUCUGUAACUGACGCUGAGGAGCGAAAGCGUGGGGAGCGAACAGGAUUAGAUACCCUGGUAGUCCACGCCGUAAACGAUGAGUGCUAAGUGUUAGGGGGUUUCCGCCCUUAGUGCUGCAGCUAACGCAUUAAGCACUCCGCUGGGGAGUACGGUCGCAAGACUGAAACUCAAAGGAAUUGACGGGGGCCCGCACAAGCGGUGGAGCAUGUGGUUUAAUUCGAAGCAACGCGAAGAACCUUACCAGGUCUUGACAUCCUCUGACAACCCUAGAGAUAGGGCUUUCCCUUCGGGGACAGAGUGACAGGUGGUGCAUGGUUGUCGUCAGCUCGUGUCGUGAGAUGUUGGGUUAAGUCCCGCAACGAGCGCAACCCUUGAUCUUAGUUGCCAGCAUUCAGUUGGGCACUCUAAGGUGACUGCCGGUGACAAACCGGAGGAAGGUGGGGAUUGACGUCAAAUCAUCAUGCCCCUUAUGACCUGGGCUACACACGUGCUACAAUGGACAGAACAAAGGGCUGCGAGACCGCAAGGUUUAGCCAAUCCCACAAAUCUGUUCUCAGUUCGAUCGCAGUCUGCAACUCACUGCGUGAAGCUGGAAUCGCUAGUAAUCGCGGAU
rnacentral:rRNA from 1 species